AUUGAACGCUAGCGGGAUGCUUUACACAUGCAAGUCGAACGGCAGCGCGGACUUCGGUCUGGCGGCGAGUGGCGAACGGGUGAGUAAUGUAUCGGAACGUGCCCAGUAGCGGGGGAUAACUACGCGAAAGCGUAGCUAAUACCGCAUACGCCCUACGGGGGAAAGCAGGGGAUCGUAAGACCUUGCACUAUUGGAGCGGCCGAUAUCGGAUUAGCUAGUUGGUGAGGUAACGGCUCACCAAGGCGACGAUCCGUAGCUGGCUUGAGAGGACGACCAGCCACACUGGGACUGAGACACGGCCCAGACUCCUACGGGAAGCAGCAGUGGGGAAUUUUGGACAAUGGGGGCAACCCUGAUCCAGCCAUCCCGCGUGUGCGAUGAAGGCCUUCGGGUUGUAAAGCACUUUUGGCAGGAAAGAAACGUCGCGGGCUAAUACCCCGUGGAACUGACGGUACCUGCAGAAUAAGCACCGGCUAACUACGUG
rnacentral:rRNA from 1 species